rnacentral:rRNA from 1 species
UGAAGUCGGAAUCGCUAGUAAUCGCGGAUCAGAAUGCCGCGGUGAAUACGUUCCCGGGCCUUGUACACACCGCCCGUCACACCAUGGGAGUUUGUUGCACCAGAAGUAGCUAGCCUAACUGCAAAGAGGGCGGUUACCACGGUGUGGCCGAUGACUGGGGUGAAGUCGUAACAAGGUAGCCGUAGGGGAACCUGCGGCUGGAUCACCUCCUUAACGAA